GCCUGAGUGGCUCAGUUGGCUGAGCCUCUGACUUUGACUCAGGUCAUGAUCUCAUGGUUAAUGAGUUCGAGUCCCAUGUCGGGCU
rnacentral:tRNA from 1 species